rnacentral:tRNA from 1 species
CAAGGUGUGCUCAGUGGUUAGCGCCCUUCGUUCAGGACGAAUAGGCCGGUGGUUCGAGUCCACUCACCCCGACCA